UUUUGUUUUUGCCCCCAUUUAUCUUGAGCUGAACUCACAGAUAUUGAUGGGAUUUUGAAUGCACAGACCAUACCAUGACUUGAUCCUGAGGCCCAUUGUUGUGCCAUUCAUCCACGACCAUCACCUCAUGUUGCAGCAUGAUAAUGCACGGCCCCAUGUUGCAAGGAUCUUUACACAAUUCCUGGAAGCUGAAAUCCAGUUCUUGCAUGGCCAGCAUACUCUCCAGACAUGUCACCCAUUGAGCAUGUUUGGGAUACUCUGGAUCGGCGUAUACGACAGCGUGUUCCAGGUCCUGCCAAUAUCCAGUAACUUCGCACAGCCAUUGAAGAGGAGUGGACCAACAGUCCACAGGCCACAAUCAACAACCUGAUCAACUCUAUGUGAAGGAGUUGUGUUGCACUGCGUGAGGCAAAUGAUGGUCACUCCAGAUACUGACUGGUUUUCGGACCCCACUGGAACCCCCAAUACAGUGAAACUGCAAAUUUCAUAGGCCUUUUGUGUACAUAGAGAAAGUCUUAGAUCUUUGAGUUCAGCUCAUAAUAAAUGGGGGCAAAAACAAAUGUGUUGCGUUUAUAAUUUUUUUCAGUGUAUUUUGCUCUUGCCGCUCAUGUGCAUGUGUAACAAUACUGGAGGUUUGUUUACUCUUGAUAAAUUAAAUUUCUUGUUUUUACUCCUCGCUGAACAGUUUAUUUUUAGGUUCAUCCGCAGAGAACCGUGUGCAACCGACCAGAUGCAGGACAGCCCUUUCCGAACUCCGACUUGUAGGGAGCCAGCUAGCGGUUUCAACAGGCUGUCUGUCUAGGUGAUGGUGAAGAUGAGGAGGUUCCUUGCUCAUAUCAACUUGUACAGAGACCGAAUGGGGCAUCUACCAUCUGGGGCCUCCGAACCUCUUGAAGUGGAAUGGGGCUGGACAUCAUCAGGACAGACAUCUGAAGUCCUCCAUAGAUACGUAAUCGCUCGAUAGAGAUAUACAAUCAAUAAUCACUAGAAAAUAAAAGACCUACAGAACUGUGGAAUUCCUUACUAUGCAGUUGUGGAAAAACAAAGGCAAAUUCUUGUUGUUAACAAGAGUUGGGCCACAGGAACAGUCCCUGCUUGCCUGAGUUAGAAUAUAUCACAGUGGAUUUAUGCCAUUCCAUCUACCAAGACACUGGUCAUUAAAAAGAAGUUUGUUGCCAAUAUCUCACCGCAAACCGAUAAUGGCACUAAGACUGCAGUCAAUGAGCUGUAUAGAGCCAUUAGCAAACUAGGACAUAUACACCCAGAGGGGGUGUUCCUCGGAUUCAGUGACUUUACUGAAGGGAAACUGAAAUCCAUCCAACUCAUUUCAUUGUCAUCUGCUAGCAACUACACAUUUAUCCUUCAGCUGGGUACAGUCUUUAACCCCAGUCACGUCCCCGGAGUGUGUCCUGUAGUCCCCUACGACUUCACGAUCUAAAUGUGAAGAUGGGGUGGUAGGAUGUAGGCCCUUUGGGUGCUACAACACUGGACACAAAUGAGAUUGUAUUUUCAUCAUGGAAGUGGAAAGUCCAUGACCACCAUCACCACAGGCAUGUCUCCCACCUGGACAUGGAUGAGGCAUGGCCCGACAUCACUGACCAAUGUCCUGUUUGGUGCAUGAAUAAUGACAAUAUUCACUGUGAUGUGGACGUGAGCGUACAUUCCUAAGACAGAAUACACAAGUGUAGUAUGUGGGGAAAAAUUUAUAAACUUUUUUAUUCCUUAAAUUAUUUAGUACAUUUGAUAAGACAGACAGCCUACGUUUUUAUAAAAGUUGUGUUUUUUCAUGAAUUAUUGCAAAUGUCUUCAUUGAUCACACCUUUGAUUAUGGAAAUAGAAAUUCUGGAUUGAAGUCAAUUGGAAUGGAUAGUCUGCUGUUUUGCCUGAUGUGGAAGCAGUGUGAUGUACAUUAACACAUUACAUUCAGCACUUCGGAGGGUCAUUUUGAAACAUUGGAUUGACUAGUUGUUAUAAUGACUCAACUGAGAGGAACAUUUUGUGGUUGGACCCGUCAUCUUGUGGGGAAACACGUUUACAAGCAAAAUGUAAGCACAAUGAUCGGUUUUGAAUAUAAGAUUACAAGUGUUUGGACUAAGAGUU
ensembl:lncRNA